CACAGCUGCUGUUGCACAUGAAGUUGUACAGGAUAGUGGUGAACUCGGUCCCCACCUGCCCAGGAGAGGGGAGCAGACACUGAGCAAAGAACAGGCAUGGCCCGGAUGAUGGUGCCUGGUGGCGGCGGGCUGGACACCUUGAUCUGGAUGGGACAUGUCUUGGCAAUCUGACAGUAAAGCUUCUUCAGCAGCGGGGAGUACUGGAACAGAAGACAGACCUGUGUUAGCACAACUCACAAGCAGCAAAUAGAACCAUGGACAAGCAGCUCAACAUGCACCGUGGGCAGCAAGGAGCCCAGGCUGCCUGCAGCCCUGUGCCUGAGGGAUGCUGUGUGCACGUGGAGGGCUGAGCACUGUGGCUCUUGCACAGGCGCCUGCUUUCCCGCAGCUCCUCUGAUCCACCCACCUCCUGCCUCCUGAAUGCUCCCAGCGAGAUGCCAACAUGGCAGCAAAGCAGCAUAUUAAAAUAAUGACUCGUUAUAAAACCAA